rnacentral:rRNA from 1 species
UCAAGCAGAUCAAUAAGCGGAGGAAAAGAAACCAACAGGGAUUGCCCUAGUAACGGCGAGUGAAGCGGCAACAGCUCAAAUUUGAAAUCUGGCUCUUUCAGAGUCCGAGUUGUAAUUUGCAGAGGGCGCUUUGGCUUUGGCAGCGGUCCAAGUUCCUUGGAACAGGACGUCACAGAGGGUGAGAAUCCCGUACGUGGUCGCUAGCUAUUGCCGUGUAAAGCCCCUUCGACGAGUCGAGUUGUUUGGGAAUGCAGCUCUAAAUGGGAGGUAAAUUUCUUCUAAAGCUAAAUAUUGGCCAGAGACCGAUAGCGCACAAGUAGAGUGAUCGAAAGAUGAAAAGCACUUUGGAAAGAGAGUCAAACAGCACGUGAAAUUGUUGAAAGGGAAGCGCUUGCAGCCAGACUUGCUUGCAGUUGCUCAUCCGGGCUUUUGCCCGGUGCACUCUUCUGCAGGCAGGCCAGCAUCAGUUUGGGCGGUGGGAUAAAGGUCUCUGUCAUGUACCUCUCUUCGGGGAGGCCUUAUAGGGGAGGCGACAUACCACCAGCCUAGACUGAGGUCCGCGCAUCUGCUAGGAUGCUGGCGUAAUGGCUGUAAGCGGCCCGUCUUGAAACACGGACCAAGGAGUCUAACAUCUAUGCGAGUGUUUGGGUGUCAAGCCCGAGCGCGUAAUGAAAGUGAACGGAGGUGGGAACCCGCAAGGGUGCACCAUCGACCGAUCCUGAAGUUUACGGAAGGAUUUGAGUAAGAGCAUGGCUGUUGGGACCCGAAAGAUGGUGAACUAUGCUUGAAUAGGGUGAAGCCAGAGGAAACUCUGGUGGAGGCUCGCAGCGGUUCUGACGUGCAAAUCGAUCGUCAAAUUUGGGCAUAGGGGCGAAAGACUAAUCGAACUAUCUAGUAGCUGGUUCCUGCCGAAGUU